rnacentral:tRNA from 1 species
GGGCCUUUAGCUCAGUUGGUAGAGCGUCACGUUUACACCGUGAAUGUCAUCGGUUCGAUCCCGGUAGGGCCCA